GCACGGUGGAUGCCUAGGCGAUCAGAUGCGAAGAAGGACGUGGAUAGCUGCGAAAAAGCUCCGGUUAGUCGCUAACAGACGUUUGACCCGGAGAUCUCCGAAUGGGGCAACCCGGCAGGGUUAUACCUGUCAGCCGGCUGGUGAAUCCAUAACCAGUCGGCAGCAAAAGUCAGGGAACUGAAACAUCUUAGUACCUGAACGAAAAGAAAUCAAAAGAGACUCCCCUAGUAGUGGCGAGCGAACGGGGACCAGCCUAAACCCACUGAGGUAAAACUCGGUGGGGGUCGUGGGGCCUGCGAUAUGGGAUUCUGGAAGUUAGACGAACGGUCUGGGAUGGCCGGCCAUAGAAGGUGACAGCCCUGUAAUCGAAAACCGAAGGAACCCUAGCGGGUACCCGAGUACCGCAGGACACGUGUAAUCCGGCGGGAAUCUGGGAGGACCAUCUCCCAAGGCUAAGUACUACUGAUCGACCGAUAGUGAACUAGUACCGCGAGGG
rnacentral:rRNA from 1 species